rnacentral:rRNA from 1 species
AGUCAAUAGAUCCCCCGGUAGUCCACGCCGUAAACGAUGAGUACUAGGUGUAGGAGGUAUCGACUCCUUCUGUGCCGCAGUUAAACACAAUAAGUACUCCGCCUGGGAAGUACGGUCGCAAGAUUAAAACUCAAAGGAAUUGACGGGGGCCCGCACAAGCAGCGGAGCAUGUGGUUUAAUUCGAAGCAACGCGAAGAACCUUACCUAGACUUGACAUCUCCUGAAUAGUGUAGAGAUACAUGAAGCCCUUCGGGGCAGGAAGACAGGUGGUGCAUGGUUGUCGUCAGCUCGUGUCGUGAGAUGUUGGG